rnacentral:misc_RNA from 1 species
GAUGAAGAACGCAGUGAAAUGCGAUAAGUAAUGUGAAUUGCAGAAUUCAGUGAAUCAUCGAAUCUUUGAACGCACCUUGCGCCCUUUGGCUAUUCCGAAGGGCAUGCCUGUUUGAGUAUCAUGAACACCUCAACUCUCAUGGUUUGCCAUGAUGAGCUUGGACUUUGGGGGUCUUGCCGGCCUAUGGGUCGGCUCCUCUCAAAUUAAUCAGCUUGCCAGUGUUUGGUGGCAUCACAGGUGUGAUAACUAUCUACGCUUGUGGUUUUCCAUCAGGUAACCUUCAGUGAUGGAGGUUCGCUGGGGCUCAUAAAUGUCUCUCCUCUGUGAGGACAGCCCUUUGAAUGUUUGAUCUCAAAUCAGGUAGGACUACCCGCUGAACUUAAGCAUAUCAAUAAGCGGAGGA